GUCUCUAACCUCAUCGUGCUCCACCUCAAGAAAAUGGAAGAAGAGGAAGACGAGUCGGCACUAAAGAGAAGCGAGCUUGUCAACUGGUACCUGAAGGAAAUCGAGUCAGAGAUAGACUCUGAAUAGGAGCUCAUAAAUAAAAAGACGAUCAUCGAGUAGGUUGUUCAUCGUCUCACACACUACAAUCACACUCAGAUUGAACUCACCCAGGCUGGGCUGAAAGGCUCCAGUGAAGGAAGCGAGAGCUAUGAGGAAGACCCCUACCCAGUAGUCAACCCUAACUACUUGCUUGAAGAUUGA
rnacentral:lncRNA from 1 species